UUUAAAUUGAGAGUUUGAUCCUGGCUCAGGACGAACGCUGGCGGCGUGCCUAACACAUGCAAGUCGAGCGAUGAAACUUCCUUCGGGGAGUGGAUUAGCGGCGGACGGGUGAGUAACACGUGGGUAACCUGCCUCAAAGAGGGGGAUAGCCUCCCGAAAGGGAGAUUAAUACCGCAUAACAUUAUUUUAUGGCAUCAUAAAAUAAUCAAAGGAGCAAUCCGCUUUGAGAUGGACCCGCGGCGCAUUAGCUAGUUGGUGAGGUAAGGGCUCACCAAGGCGACGAUGCGUAGCCGACCUGAGAGGGUGAUCGGCCACAUUGGAACUGAGACACGGUCCAGACUCCUACGGGAGGCAGCAGUGGGGAAUAUUGCGCAAUGGGGGGAACCCUGACGCAGCAACGCCGCGUGAGUGAUGAAGGUUUUCGGAUCGUAAAACUCUGUCUUUAGGGACGAUAAUGACGGUACCUAAGGAGGAAGCCACGGCUAACUACGUGCCAGCAGCCGCGGUAAUACGUAGGUGGCAAGCGUUGUCCGGAUUUACUGGGCGUAAAGAGUAUGUAGGUGGGUGCUUAAGUCAGAUGUGAAAUUCCCGGGCUUAACCUGGGCGCUGCAUUUGAAACUGGGCAUCUAGAGUGCAGGAGAGGAAAGUGGAAUUCCUAGUGUAGCGGUGAAAUGCGUAGAGAUUAGGAAGAACACCAGUGGC
rnacentral:rRNA from 1 species